CUACGGGAGGCUGCAGUGGGGAAUAUUGCGCAAUGGGCGAAAGCCUGACGCAGCGACGCCGCGUGGAGGACGAAGGUCCUCGGAUUGUAAACUCCUGUUAAGUGGGAAGAAAGAUUUGUAAGUAAUAUAUACAAAGGAUGACAGUACUGCUAAAGAAAGCUCCGGCUAACUUCGUGCCAGCAGCCGCGGUAAUACGAAGGGAGCAAGCGUUAUUCGGAAUCACUGGGCGUAAAGAGCGUGUAGGCGGCUAAUUAAGUUAGUUGUUAAAUAUCUUAGCUUAACUAAGAGUCGGCGAUUAAUACUGAUUAGCGAGAGGACAAGAGAGAGAAGUGGAAUUCUCGGAGUAGCGGUAAAAUGCAUAGAUCUCGAGAGGAACACCGGUGGCGAAGGCGGCUUCUUGGCUUGUAUCUGACGCUAAAGCGCGAAAGUGUGGGGAGCAAACAGGAUUAGAUACCCUCGUAGUC
rnacentral:rRNA from 1 species